CCGGUAGCUCAACCAGGUAGAGCAGUUGACUCUUAAUCAAUUGGUUGGGGGUUCGAUUCCUCCCCGGCGUA
rnacentral:tRNA from 1 species